AACGGUCUAUACCUGCGGUACCUGCGGAAGGAUCAUUGAUGAAACAAUAGAAUGUGUGUAUUCACAUUAUUCUAUUCAAUCUCGUACAUGUGAAGGAUGGUUCUCUGUCCAUGCACAAUAAUAAUAAUCACUUGAUUUAUUUAUUAACAAUCUAUAAUCACUACAACUUUCAACAACGGAUCUCU
rnacentral:misc_RNA from 1 species